CGGGCAAUGCGAGAGCUGGGGGUGCUCCAGAAGCCUGGACAUGUUGGCAGCAUGGACAGGGGGGACCCAUGGAUACCCCAGGACCCUGAAAGAGGGACCCCGGACAGUGCUGACCCCUGGGAUACCUGUGAUGCCAAAGUGGUGAGGCCAGAGAAGGAGGACCUGCGGGAUUGCCAGGAGCCCCAGCAGCCCAGAGAGGGGAACAGCAAUACAAACCUGACCCGCAGCAACCCAGACAGGGGCGCCUCCAGGAGCCCAAAGUGGAGACACCAGAGAGGAGAAACCCAGGGUUGAGUGUUUUGGUUGAAUCUUAGUAAUUUGUGUAUUUUUGGGCACUGAAUUUUAGUGUUUUGGAAGUUUACAAAGGCACCAGAUUCCCGGUGACUUCUAGAGUGUGGAGGCGCAGGGGCCCAACAUUGGAACUGUAAUACCUCAGGGCAAAGGUGACCAGGGUCAGAGAGAGACACCCCUCUGAGGACAAUGCUCUCACCAUCAGCAUUUGCAGGCUCAUGGGAAUGCAGCAGGCUUCAUUGGUAUCACCCACUCCAGCUGCCCUUUUUCCUUAUAUGGAUUCCCCCUAGAAUGUUCUCCCCUCUCUUGUCCCCCAUUGGUCCUGGUUUGCUGCAAUGCUCCUCCCCUGUUACCUCAUUGGUUCCCCAGUUGGCUGCCCCUCCUCUGCACCACCUGUGCUCAGUUCCCAUUGGCCCUUGGCCCUCAGACCCGCCCCUUUCCCCCCUUACCAAACCCUGUGUCCUCAGCACCAUUUUGUCUCUGUGCCUGGACCCUCUGCAUUGCAAUAAACUGCGUUUGGAGCUGUGCACACAGACCCGUCUCUGGCCUUGUCCAUCAGCAGGUUAAGCAAGCGUGCUCCGGGCUCUGGGAGUGCAGCUUGCUCACAGGGGCUCGUUGUGGAUGUGCCACAACACCAGAGAUGGACUUGGGCAGGAGGAACACCGUAAUCCAAUGUAGUCAUACACUGUAUUUUCCCCCAAACCAGGAUUUCUCAUUCCCAAACUUUGGCUGGAUGGAGGAGGAGGCUGUAAGGAAGAGGAAGAUGCCCCGGGACACCCAGGCAGACAAGGAGGUGAGGAUGGAGACCAGGGAGGACAAAUCCCCACAGAAGAACCUCGAGGAAGAGGCAGAUUGGAGCGGCUCCACGGGGCAGGAAUCCAACAGGGAGGAAAAGCUCCAGAGAUGGCACAGGAAGAGGGGACCAAACCCAGCCCAGGGUGCUCUGAGGUGAAAGGCUGCACCCUGAGCCAGGGAUUGGAGCUGGUGACCCAUGAGCAGCUUCAUGACGGGGAGAAGCCCUACAAGUGUUUGGAGUGUGGGAAGAGCUUCAGGCGGAGCAACACCCUGGUGAGCCACCAGAUGAUCCACACUGGGGAAUGGGCCUGUGAGUGUGGGGAAUGUGGGAAGGGCUUCAGCUGCUGCUCCCACCUCAUCAUCCACCAACGCAUCCACACUGGGGAGAGGCCCUAUGAGUGUCCUGUGUGCCAGAAGAGGUUCCAAACCAGCUCCAAUCUCCUCCUGCAUGAGAGAAUUCACACACAGGAGAGGCCCUUCCGUUGCCCCGACUGCGGGAAGGGCUUCAAGCGCAACUCCCACCUCAUCACCCACCAGCGAAUCCACACUGGGGAGAGGCCCUACGAGUGUUCCCAGUGUGGGAAGAGCUUCACCCAGAGCUGUAACUUGAACAGACACCACCAGAGGCACAGUUAAGGGAAGCCCUAUAAAUGCCCCAACUGCAGAAGGAGCUUCAUGCACUGCCCUAACUUCGUCCCCCCACUGGAGAGCCCACAUUGGGAAGAGCCCUGGUGAUCCAUGGUCUCUGUGAUCCAUGCUGGGAAGACACUUGUAGCUUUUCCUGGUUCUGUCAAUGAUAUGAUGUGAGAUUGAAGAACAUGACGGUGUGGCCAUGGCCAUGAUGUUACAUUCAGUCCCACCUUAGGUUAUUGCCAGGGGCAGGCAAGGGACUCUCUCUCUCGCAAAGAGGAGGGUGUCCUUUCCAGGCAGGAGGAAAUAUGUGGCCAGGAAGAGACGGUUGUUGAUGUUGUAGUUUUCCCUGUAAAUAGUUUUUGUUUUCCCUUCUGUUACCAGUAUUGUUUCUCUUCCUGUUUGUUGUUUAUCUCGUUGCUGUUCCCAUUAAAUUGUUCUUAUCCCA